rnacentral:rRNA from 1 species
UGCAGUCGAGCGGACAGAUGGGAGCUUGCUCCCUGAUGUUAGCGGCGGACGGGUGAGUAACACGUGGGUAACCUGCCUGUAAGACUGGGAUAACUCCGGGAAACCGGGGCUAAUACCGGAUGCUUGUUUGAACCGCAUGGUUCAAACAUAAAAGGUGGCUUCGGCUACCACUUACAGAUGGACCCGCGGCGCAUUAGCUAGUUGGUGAGGUAAUGGCUCACCAAGGCGACGAUGCGUAGCCGACCUGAGAGGGUGAUCGGCCACACUGGGACUGAGACACGGCCCAGACUCCUACGGGAGGCAGCAGUAGGGAAUCUUCCGCAAUGGACGAAAGUCUGACGGAGCAACGCCGCGUGAGUGAUGAAGGUUUUCGGAUCGUAAAGCUCUGUUGUUAGGGAAGAACAAGUACCGUUCGAAUAGGGCGGUACCUUGACGGUACCUAACCAGAAAGCCACGGCUAACUACGUGCCAGCAGCCGCGGUAAUACGUAGGUGGCAAGCGUUGUCCGGAAUUAUUGGGCGUAAAGGGCUCGCAGGCGGUUUCUUAAGUCUGAUGUGAAAGCCCCCGGCUCAACCGGGGAGGGUCAUUGGAAACUGGGGAACUUGAGUGCAGAAGAGGAGAGUGGAAUUCCACGUGUAGCGGUGAAAUGCGUAGAGAUGUGGAGGAACACCAGUGGCGAAGGCGACUCUCUGGUCUGUAACUGACGCUGAGGAGCGAAAGCGUGGGGAGCGAACAGGAUUAGAUACCCUGGUAGUCCACGCCGUAAACGAUGAGUGCUAAGUGUUAGGGGGUUUCCGCCCCUUAGUGCUGCAGCUAACGCAUUAAGCACUCCGCCUGGGGAGUACGGUCGCAAGACUGAAACUCAAAGGAAUUGACGGGGGCCCGCACAAGCGGUGGAGCAUGUGGUUUAAUUC